AGAGUUUGAUCAUGGCUCAGAACGAACGCUGGCGGCAUGCCUAACACAUGCAAGUCGAACGGGAUCCUAGCUUGCUAGGUGAGAGUGGCGACGGGUGAGUAACGCGUGGGAACGUACCCUUUGCUUCGGAAUAGCCCCGGGAAACUGGGAGUAAUACCGGAUGUGCCCUACGGGGGAAAGAAUUUCGGCAAAGGAUCGGCCCGCGUUGGAUUAGGUAGUUGGUGGGGUAAUGGCCUACCAAGCCGACGAUCCAUAGCUGGUUUGAGAGGAUGAUCAGCCACACUGGGACUGAGACACGGCCCAGACUCCUACGGGAGGCAGCAGUGGGGAACCCUAGACAAUGGGCGCAAGCCUGAUCUAGCCAUGCCGCGUGAGCGAUGAAGGCCUUAGGGUUGUAAAGCUCUUUCGUGGGGGAAGAUAAUGACGGUACCCCAAGAAGAAGCCCCGGCUAACUCCGUG
rnacentral:rRNA from 1 species